AUGUUUCCAUUCAAGUUCAAGAGGAAGCAAUUUCCUGUAAGGCUUAGCUUUGCCAUGACGAUUAACAAGGCUCAAGGACAGACAAUUCCAAUUGUUAGCGUGUACCUACCUAAUCUGGUGUUCUCUCAUGGUCAACUCUAUGUCACGUUGUCUCGAGCCACCGCGAAGAGGAACAUAAAGAUCCUCAUUGAGAAGGAGAAGGAGAAGGAUAAUGGCAAGAAGAAAAGUGAUAAAUCAAAGAAGUGAAAAAGACCUUCCUUGUCCUUACAAACCUUGAUGAAGAACAUCGUCUAUAAGAAAGUCCUUACAGGCUGA
rnacentral:rRNA from 1 species